CUGGGUUACAGGGCGCCUCGGCGCCCGUCACCACCCCCUGCUUCCCGCCCCCUUUCGGCGCGACGGGGCCCAAACUCUGAACAAACUUGCAGCCUGAGUCGAGAAGCAAAUAGUCA
rnacentral:misc_RNA from 1 species